AUGGAUAUCAUACACAAUUUUGUCAUGCAGGGGAGGCCGCUGAUGAGAGCCAACUUAGCUAUCGAGCGGCAUGCUGCAAAGAUCUACACACUAGCUAUGUUCGAGCAAUUUGGACACAUAUUGUACGAGUCCGGCGCAUACCAAGUUGAAGAAGUGGAGAAGAACAAACUGUAUGUUGCGAUACACACCGAGCCGGAACGCAGGGAGAAAUGGCACAAGGUGUCAUACAAUGUGUCGGUGAUCGGACAAGGAGAAGAAUUUGUUUGUGAAUGUGGCCAGUUCUCUCACAUGGGUCUGCUGUGCAGCCAUGUCCUGAAGGUUAGGAAGCAGCUGCUGGAUUGUUUGUCAUCUCUUUGUGCUGUGUCGUUGAAUGCAUGA
rnacentral:rRNA from 1 species